GGGGCUGAUUCUGGAUUCGACGGGAUUUGCGAAACCCAAGGUGCAUGCCGAGGGGGGUUGGCCUCGUAAAAAGCCGCAAAAAAUAGUCGCAAACGACGAAAACUACGCUUUAGCAGCUUAAUAACCUGCUUAGAGCCCUCUCUCCCUAGCCUCCGCUCUUAGGACGGGGAUCAAGAGAGGUCAAACCCAAAAGAGAUCGCGUGGAAGCCCUGCCUGGGGUUGAAGCGUUAAAACUUAAUCAGGCUAGUUUGUUAGUGGCGUGUCCGUCCGCAGCUGGCAAGCGAAUGUAAAGACUGACUAAGCAUGUAGUACCGAGGACGUAGGAAUUUCGGACGCGGGUUCAACUCCCGCCAGCUCCACCA
rnacentral:tmRNA from 1 species